rnacentral:snoRNA from 1 species
UGAUAGUGAUAAGGAUAAUUUUUUAGCAUGACUUUAAAUCUCUCCCAAGCUUGGUAGAGAUUUUCUCUAUUUUUUUUCUAAAACUCAAGACCUCACUCCUCAAAUA